rnacentral:rRNA from 1 species
CCUACGGGUGACUGCAGUGAGGAAUAUUGGUCAAUGGACGCAAGUCUGAACCAGCCAUGCCGCGUGCAGGAAGACGGCUCUAUGAGUUGUAAACUGCUUUUGUACGAGGGUAAACUCAGAUACGCGUAUCUGUCUGAAAGUAUCUUCCGAAUACGGAUCGGCUAACUCCGUGCCAGCAGCCGCGGUAAUACGGAGGAUUCAAGCGUUAUCCGGAUUUAUUGGGUUUAAAGGGUGCGUAGGCGGUCGGAUAAGUUAGAGGUGAAAUCCCGAGGCGAAACUUCGGAAUUGCCUCUGAUACUGUUAGGCUAGAGAGUAGUUGCGGUAGGCGGAAUGUAUGGUGUAGCGGUGAAAUGCUUAGAGAUCAUACAGAACACCGAUUGCGAAGGCAGCUUACCAAGCUACGUCUGACGUUGAGGCACGAAAGCGUGGGGAGCAAACAGGAUUAGAUACCCCAGUAGUC